UUUAAAGAUUGUACUAUGUUGAGUGAUACAUAUUUGUUUUUAUAUAUUUAUAUAUAUUUUUAAUAGGUAUUUACACCUUUUAGAAAUAGAUGACAGCUCGACGCCUAUACAUGUGAGUCUUGAAAAACUGAAAAAGGAGGUUGCUGCACUCAGUUGUCUACCACCAACGACUACGUGCACCAACCAGGGAGCUGGCACAGGUAGGGGAAAUGGAAGUAUGAUAUAAGAUUUCUAUAUGUUUAUUAUUUGACGAAUCAUUCAUGGUGAUUUUAUAAUUCUCUUGGAAGAAUCGACAUCUUGGGAAAAAACGACUGAUCGUCGUUAUCAAACGGGGGUUGCAGUGAAAAAAAAAAGUACAUACGGUUGUCCAGUCUGAGAGACCUUCUACAAGCAGGGAGCAGCUUGUCCUGUCUACACCAACAAAGGACACAUGGAACUAUCCAGGAUGCUUCAGUACUGUGAAUUGUGUGGACACCUUUGUGAAGUAUUACAGAAGACCGAGAUACAAAGGCUACACGUUUAUUGCCCACAACGCAUCCAGCUUUGACAACUAUAUUCUGUUGGAAUAUUUUGUAAAACAGAUCACUCCGCAAGUCACCAUGAGAGGGAGUAGGGUAAUACUGAUGUAUGACAUUUCAUAGCGGCAGAGAUGGAUUGACUCAUUCAGUUUCCUGCCCAUGCGAUGGUCAAAACCCCCCGCUGCCCUAGGGUUCAGUGAUGUCGAGAAAGGCUAUUUUCCCCACAAGUUCAACACCCGGGAGCAUGAGUAUUAUGUCGGUAAAUAUCCUGAUCCGUCCUACUACGGCUUUGACGAUAUGAGUGAUAGCGAUAAAGCGACAUUCAUGGAAUGGUAUAAUGCUGUUUCAGGAGGAACAUUUGACUUCCAAAAAGAAAUCGGACGCUACUGUGUUAACGAUGUAGAAGUGUUGCGAAGAGCCUGCAGCAUCUAUCGUGAGACAUUCAUAGAGUGCACGGAGCUUGACCCCUUCUCAUUUACCACCCUAGCAUCCAGCUGCAUGGGGGUGUUGAAAACCCUGUUUCUCCCAAAGGACACAGUUGCUCUGACGUUUGAGGGGGCAUACACUGCUCAGAAUAAGACGUAUUCUGAUGUAUCGAUGCAAUGGCUUGAAUAUGUGGCCCUCACA